CUCAGAAUCCUAGUUGUGAUCACAGUCUGCCUUCACAACCCACACUAAAAAGAUGAGUUCUUCAUAGAAGAAUCAAGAUGGCCUAGUUAGAGGCUGAUCUUCUAGAGAGGAGCUCUGUGGAGAAGGACUUGAAUAUCCUAGUGGACAGCAGGUUGACCAUGAGCCAGAAGUGUGCCCCUGUGGCCAAGAAGGUCAAAGAUAUCCUGGGGUACAAUAAAAGAAGUGUGUCCAGAAGGUUGAGGGAAAUGAUCCUCCCACUCUACCCUGCCGCGCAGAGUGCACGUCUGGACUACUGCAUCCAUUUCUGGGCUCCUCAGUUCAAGAAAGACAGUGAACUUCUAGACAGAGUCCAGCACAGAACCACAACAAUAUUUAGUGGCCUGGAACAUCUCUCUUGUGAGGAAAGUUGUUGCAAUUGGACUGAAGCGAUUGCUGAUAGGAGAACAGACUGACAGAAGAACUCACUGAGAGCAGCUCUGUGGAGAAGGACUCGGGGGUCCUGAUGAAUGAAAAGCUGGACACAAGCUAUCAGUGUGCACUUGCAGCCCAGAAGGACAACUAUAUCCUGGGCUGUAUCAAAAGAGGAGUGAGCCAGCAGAGUGAGGGAGAGGAUUGUCCCCCUCUACUCUGCCUUUGUGAUGUCCCACCUGGAGUACUGUGUGCAUGCCUGGGGCCCCUACUACAAGAACAAUGGGGGGCUGUUGGCGUGGGUCCAGAGAAUGGCCAUUGAGAUGAUCAGAGGCCUGGAGCACCCGUCCUGUGAAGAAAGGUUGAGGGAGUGGGGCUUGUUUAGCUUGGGGAAGAGAGGACUAUGGGGAGAUCUCAUUACGGUCUUCCAGUACCUGAAGGGAGCUAACAAGCAGUCUUCUUUCACAGUCUGAUAGUGACAAGACAAGGGGGAAUGCCUAGAAACUAAAUGAGAGUAGAUUUAGGUUAGCUUCUAGGAAGAAAUUUUUUACUCAGAGGAUUGUGAAGUGUUGGAAACAUAUGUUGCCCAGAAGGGUUAUGGAUGCCCCAUCCCUGGAGGUAUUGAAGGCCAGAUUGGCUACCGCCCUGGGUAACCUUAACUGGUGGCUGGCAGGGUUGUCAACCUAAGCCAUUCCAUGAUUCUAUGAUCCUAUGAAAGGCCAAGAGACCUUGGACUAUUAAGCCUGAAUAAGAGAAGACUGAGGGAGGAUCUUAUCAAUGCUUUAAAUAUCUACAGGGCAGGAGUCAAGUGGAUGGGGCCAGGCUCCUUUUGGCAAUGCCCAGUGACAGGACAAUGGGCAAUGGGCACAGACUAAAACACAGGAAGUUCCAUCUGAACAUGAGAAAAAACAACUUUUUUUGGAGGGUGACAGAGCACUGGAAAAGCUGCCCAGAGAAGUUUUGGAGCCUCCUUUUAUAGAGAUACUCAGAAGUCUCCCAAAUGCUUUCCUGUGUAAUUACCUCUAGGCAACAUGCUUUAGCGGAGGUGUUGGUCUAGAUUAUCUCCAAAGAUCCCUUCUAACCCCUAUGGUUCUGUGAUUUUGAGAUUUUUAGGCAUUGGCAAAGUACUAAUAGUGAAGGACAAAUUUUCAUAGUGAGAAUUCUGGAAAGCUGGAGCAAAUUAUUGAGAAUGUAUUUUCUUUGUAUAAAAUAUUUAGAUGUCCCUUAUCUUUCAAAUCAUUGUUGCUUGACAGUCACUGUACAGUGAUUUAAAUAAAUAUGACAAACUGCGCUAUUACCCACACAGUAGGGAUAACACAGUUGGAGGUAUAAUUCCUCCAUCAUAUAUUCUAGCUCAAAGGUUGGUGUGCAGAAUUAACUCCAGUUACAUAUACAAAUCUGGAGCAUGACCUUGUGUGACUGAGGUGCAGGCUAUAUCAUUCUUUGAUUAUCCCUGCAUCAGAAAUAGUAACUUCAGGAAAUUCUGUAAGGUUGAGAGACAGCAAUGAUGACUUGUUUAACACUCAUAACAUUCAGCAGGGCUGGUCUGGAAGACCAUCAAAAUACAUAAAUAAGUGAUAACCUUCAAAAGAGAUGUUACGCAUUUCUGAACAUAAGGUAACAGGAUGUGUAACUAUAAAAUUCUUCUUGUUUAGGAUUGUGAGAGAUGAUACAGUUUUAGGUGCUGGAAUGAAAAGGCUUUGACAUAAGCAGAGAAUGAUUUUGAGGGAGAUAAGGUGUCUUUCACCUGUUUUUAUUAAACUGUGAAAUUAUUUACUAUUGUAUAUAGGAAAGACUGGUAGUGGGGGUGUGGUUUGUAUGGGUGGCAGAGGGAAAACCAAUUUCAGAGGGGAGGAAGCAGGAGGAGGCAGUCCAUGGCAGAGGAUACAGUCACUGUAGUCCAGGGAGAGCCCGCACUGGCACAGAUUUUUCCUGACAAGAGCUGAAAUCCUAACAAAAACUCAGAAGGGAAUAGAUUCCACAGCCCCCCCCCCCCCCCCCCCCCCUCCCCCCGCCAAGGAACUACAGCUUAUGGAUAACUGACUAACCCACAAUGGAACAGGGAAAAUGUGUUAGGAAAUUGGAAAUAAGUCUUGUUUAAUGCUUUUUUUUUUUUUUUUUUUUUUUUCCUGCUACCAGGGAAAGGUCACAAAGUUGAUCAGAGGGCUGGAACAUUUCCCCUGUAAGGACAGGCUGAGAAAGCUGAGGUUGUUCAGUCUGGAGAAGAGAGGAGGGCCUACAGAAAUUCUGGGGUGAGAUAUUUUAUAAGGGCGUGUAGCAACAGGAUGUAGGAAAAUGGCUAUAAAAUGGAAGAGAGUAGAUUUAGACUAGUCAUAAGGAAGAAUAUAAGAAAUUAUAAGGAAGAAGUUUUUCUCUGUGAGAGUAAUGAGACACUGGAACAGGUUGCUCAGAGACAUUGUGGGUGUCCCCUCCCAGGAGGUGUUCAAGGCCACGCUAGAUGGGGCUUUGAGCAACCUGGUCUAGCAGGAGGUGUCCUUGUCCAUGGCAAGGGUUAGAACAACACAUUCUCUAAGGUCCCUUCCAACACAUACCAUUCUGUGAUUCUAUGAAAAUUAGUAAUGACAUUUUUAUUUUACUUGGCAACAAAUUCACCACAUCAAGAUGUUUUGCCUGCAGUGGUAGUUAGAAAGCAAUCUACCUGUCUUAAUCUUGAUCCUUCUUGUUCUUUCUGCUUUCUAAUCCCAUCCUACUGCAGGAGGAAUUAAGUAAGCAGCUAAGUAAGCAUUUGGCUUUUAGCCAAGUCUAACCCAUCUUGUUGCUCUUAAGAAUUUCUGCCUUGUUCUUGCCUCCUAAAUAUUUAGUCAUCAGGUCCAGUUUCCACCUUGGACAUGUCAAUAUUCCUGCAAAGUACAACUAAUUUUGUAAGUAAGUGUAAAUAAGUUCAAAGUGAUCUUGAAAAUUUAAACUCAAAGGUACUUUUCUCUUUUUCUUUUUUAUUUUAAUAGCAGAUAGGCUAGGCUAUGCUCUAUGCUUGCCUAGAAGAUUUUAUCAGGAUUUAGAAACAUUAGAGACACUUCAACCCACUUUCUCCUCUUCCUUUUGUGACACACUUUAGUUUUUGUCACAUAUAAAAUGGAAUAAAAAUCAUCAAUAGUACUAAAAUGAAUGUCUGUCUAAGAAUUACCAUUUCUGAUGCAGUUGAUGUAGCACAUGUAAAAAGUAUAUUUUGCUUUGGUCUGAUGGAAAUGUGCAUCUGAUUUAGAAUAAUUUGUCUUGCUACUUGAGCAAACAAAAUGUAAUUAAGUUGCCUAUAACAGCUAAGAAUAAUAGCUUCUCAUUAAUAUUGUUACCUGGGUGUUAAAAAACCUAAAGCAAGGCAAAUGUAAUGAAUUUAGCAAGUUAACAGAAUUGCCUUUUUUUUUUUUUAAGCAAUCUUUUCAUGCCACUGUAUUUGAGAUGGUGUCAGCAUUGCUAUUAUAAAUAAUUUAAGCAUUUAUAACUCAGUAAGAGAAGAGCACUAGUUCAGUCACAUUCUAAAUGAGUUAUUUGCUCAAUAUGUCUUCAAGGCUUAAGGGAACAUAAGAUAAAACUUACAUUUUCCUCUAGGGGCAUUAGUAAUUAAGCUAGAUAUUCAACUUUAACCAGACAAUUAAAAAAGGUUCCUCAGUGCUACUUUGAAUGCAAAGUUUGUCUAAACAUGAUGUACUUACAUGCAGGAUAGGAUGAUUUUGGGAGGUAUUCCAAGAACAGAAACAGCAGUGACUAUCACUGCUUGUCAAAUAAUGAAUAAUAAGAGUUGUCCUGCAGAGGACAAGUGAGAGGUCAGAGGAAGAAGAUAGCUUUUUUUCUUUUGUUAACGGAUGGUGCAAAAAUUCUAUGUUACCAUUCGGAUGGAGAAAAUAUAAGAUAUUGUUCUAGGCCCCUUUCCAAAAAAGCACUUAUACUUUCAUUUGUGUGGUAGUGAACAGUCUUGCUGAUUUCAGCCACUUUUCACAUGGCUAAAUUGAAGCACACACUUACAGAACUGUUGGAUUGUUGCUGAGACAGAUGCAUACUUAGGAAGCAAAAGAGCAGUAAGGUUGAAAUUAGUAAUUCAGUCACAACACUAGCAUCAUUCUCAUGAUGCAUAAAAGCAUUAUUUUUCAACAUUCACUUCUCUUUCUGAAGGACUGGAAACAAAUAGCAGGUAAUAAUCAGAACAGUUUAAAUCUGCAGUUUAGUAAUUCAAAUCUUAUAUGAUAAUUUUUUGCAUUCUCACUCUUGUGCCAAAUUAAAAGUUUUGAAAUAGAAUUAAUGGAGUUAGAAUUCACAUGAGAAUUUGUUAAUUGCUGUGAUAAAAAUAAUGAGACUGACAGGCUUGAGAACUGGGCCCUAAUGAGGUUCAACAAGGGCAAGUGUAAGGACUUGGGGGGUCCUGGUGGAUGAGAAGCUGGACAUGAUCCAAUAGUAUGCAUAUGCAGCCCAGAGGGCCAACUGUAUUCGGGGCUGCAUUAAAAAAGGAGUGGCCAGAAGGGAUAGGGAGGUAAUUGUCCCCUUCUACUCAGCUCUUGUGAGACUGCCUGAACCCAUCUUUGGCUUUGGCUUUGGCUCAAAGCUUGCUUUCUGAGGCAUUUCUUGUGAUAAGACUCUUACUUAUCUAGGAGAUGAGAGGUGCUGUGUGGCAGUGGGCAUCACUGUGUGGACUAUUUUACAUUUGAAAACAUUUCUUUGGAGCUGUUUGCCUUCUGAAGAGAAUGCUCAGGACUGUUUUCUGGCGGAAGAUCUGUCCUGUGACCAAAUAACUCCAGAUUGCUAUGGCAGACUGGGGGGAUGAUACCAUUGUAUCCUGUGAAGGCAAGAAAUAAGGGGGUGCCUCCCUGCUCCCUCUUGUCUGCUGGCAAGGCCCAGAAGAUGGGAACAAAAGGAGUUCCUGCUGUGAUCCAAAAGCCAGCAGCUGUCACUACAAAAGGAGCUGACUAGGCCACUUUGGACUUAUAAAUAAGCUUGUACUGACAUUGGAAAGAGUCGUUGUCAUCGUCGCUGUCAUUAUCGUCAAAUGAACAACAACCCCUGAUGACCCAUCACUACUGAAGAUCAACAUCUGAACUACGAGCAGUGCUGGAAUCCAUGGUGCUAGACAGAGGCCCCAUCUGGAGUACUGCAUCCAUGUGUGAGGCGCCCAGCACAAGAAAGACGCAGAGCUCUUGGAACAGGUCCAGAGGAGGACCACUAAGAUGAUCAGAGGGCUGGAGCACCUAUGAAGAAAAGUUGAGGGAACUGGGCUUGUUUAGCUUGGAGAAGAGAAGGCUCCAGGGAGACCUCCCUGUGGCCUUCCAGUACUUAAAGGGAGAGUAUAAACAGGAGGGGGUACAACUGUUUACAUGGGUCGAUAGUGACAUGACAAGGGCAAUAGUUUUAAACUAAUACAGGGGGAAUUUAGGUUAAAUAUUAGGAGGAAGUUUUUCACUCAGAGGGUGGUGAUGCACUGGAACAGGUUGCCCAAGGAGGUAGUGGAUGCCCCAUCUCUGGAGGCAUUCAAGGCAAGGAUAGGUGUGCCUCUGGUCUAGUCAUUGGUGACCUUGCCCAUGGCAGGGGGGAUGAAGCUAGAUGAUCUUUGAGGUCUUUUUCAAUCUAGGCCGAUCUGUGAUUCUAUGUUUUGCAGUAGAUGAGCUACUGCUGGACAAUUUCUGCAUGUAUCAUUUUUAAAAGAAUUUACACUGAUUACAUCAGAACAUUCAGUCUUUCUUGACAGUCUUUUUUCUUGUUAUUGGCAGGGCAGUAAUUACUACAUAAAAAUAUGUAUGUAGGAACAGAGAACACUUUAAGAACUUUGUUAUGAGGUAAAUACUAGGCAAAAAAUAUAAAAGGAGAAUUUGUAAUGAGCACAUCCGAUAAUACACAAAAAGUAUAUUUUCUUCUUUUUUUUUCCUCCCUCUCCUAAUGAGGUUCUGAAUAAAAUCAUUUAAAAAUGAUCCUUCCUUUUGUGUUAAGAAAGAGAGCUUCUUCUAUCGCAUGUCCAUAUCACUUGAAGUACUACUCUAGGUAUUCAAAUGAUUCCAAUCCCUUGAAAUCAGCAUGAGCAGAUAGAAGGCAAACCUGAUGAAGAGCUCGUUAGGCAAUCUCAGAAAAGAUUUUGAAGUGAUAAACUAUUUUUGCUGUUUUCACAAAUUUUCAGGUAUAAAGUCCUAGGUUCUGUUUCACAUGGAGCAGACAAAUCACCUGGGAAGCUGAUGCCCUUUGAUGAAGAGAAAGCCUCUAAGACUUUCUUUAACUCUGCAUCAAUUCAUAGGAAAGAAGUUUUGGAACCAUGGCUCAUAGAGCUUUUAACCUUUUGUGGAGACUGCCUGAUGAGGUUCUGCACAGAUGCCUUUAUGGAAUGAGAGAAGUUCUAUGAGAGAGAGAAGAACAUUUCAGCUUCUUGUGCUGCCCUGCCAGUGAGGAGACGGGGGGUGCAAAGAAGCUGAGGUGGGACAGAACCAGGACAGCUGACCCAAAAUGUCCAAAGGAAUAUCCUAUACCAUAUGACAUAGUUCUGACAAUAAAACUGGGAGACUGAGUGAGCUGUGUCGUGCUGAGCUGCCUGCCAGGGUUAAACCACAGCAGUAGUGCACCCAACAGAGGACUGGAAGAGUUUGAGAUUAUGACAGAUUUGACUGGAGUAUGGAGCGUGCUACACCAAAUGCAUAGUUGUUAUACUCUUCAGCUGCUAAUUGGUAUGCUCCCGCAGUUUUCCUGGGUCUUGCUUGCCUUACUGUAUUUUGGAGUCUACUAUCUGUUAGUGGAUGCUUUUGCUCUGUCUUCCCUCUCCACUUUCUACUUUCCACUCUCCCCUCUCCUCAGAAAACAAACAAACAAUAAUAGUAAUAAUAAUAGUAAUAGUAAUAAAACAAAACAAACAAACAAAACAAAACAAAACAAAAAAACCCGGAGGUUUUUAAUCAGUAGAUGGCAGUAAGAGCUAGCAAGAAGCCUGAAAGGGAGUCUCACAGACCUACACAUUAAUCAUACAUAUAGCAAAUUCCACAAAGUACAAGCCGACAAAGACCCUGCUUUACCACAAUCAAUCUUUAUUCACCACUAGAUUACAGUGGUUAGAUAUAUUUGAUUGCCACAGGUCCAAGAAAAAGCUUAUAAAUAACUAUAAAUGUAAUCGGCUUAAAUUUUUGCCAUUGUAUUUUUUGGUUUUAUUUUUGUUGUAGGCUGAGAUUGGGGUGCAAUCUGUUUAUCCUUAGAUUUGUUGUAUGACCACCCAGUCCAUCUGUCACCUUGACUUUGAAGCUGUAAUUUUAAUGUUUGGCUCUGUAAAUGUUUAAAGCAUCAUUACAAAUUUACAAAGGGAAAGAUACUGCUAACGGUGCAGCUGAAAUAAGACUGUCUCAGCUCACUUGUCUUUACUCCAAGACUUUCACUGCUGUGUGCCUGUGUUUUAAGCUGAAAUGAUAUCACAACAGUGAAGUAAUGCUGCAUUGUACUGCAGGAUCCAUUUUGGACAGCUCUAUUCUCUAGCCUGCAUUGCUUUUUCAAAAAGUCACAAUGUACAAUGGAUGUACACUUUAUUCACUUGUGAAAGGUAUGAAUUCAUGUAUUUUUCUAACAUACACUCAGCAAAAAAAGCAGUGUAAGUAUACUUGAAAAAAAAAAAAAAAGAAAAUAGAAUAAUAAUGUUGAUUUACUUUCCAGCUCACUAUCUAUAUAUAGUUAGAAAUGUAUAUUUAAUUUUCUGUAAAUUUGCAAGCUUUUUAACUGUGUAAUAUAUAUAAAAUUUGAAAUCCACACUGUAUUUCUCUGUUUGACUCUAUUUGUUUAAGCUAUGUAUUUGUGUACCAAUCAGACCUAUGAUAGUUUUAUUUAACUUCACAGUCCUUUUUCUGUGAAAGAAAAUUGUCUUUUUCUGCUUCCCAUUCAGUAGUAC
rnacentral:lncRNA from 1 species